rnacentral:rRNA from 1 species
UGCGUAGGCGGGGCAAUUAGUCAGUGGUGAAAUCCUGCGGCUUAACCGUAGAACUGCCAUUGAUACUGUUGCCCUUGAGUAUAGUUGAGGUGGGCGGAAUGUGUAAUGUAGCGGUGAAAUGCAUAGAGAUUACACAGAACACCAACUGCGAAGGCAGCUCACUAAGCUAUAACUGACGCUGAGGCACGAAAGCGUGGGGAGCGAACAGGAUUAGAUACCCUGGUAGUCC